GACGAACGCUGGCGGCGUGCCUAAUACAUGCAAGUCGAGCGGAAUGAUGAAGAAACUUGCUUCUUCUGAUUUUAGCGGCGGACGGGUGAGUAACACGUGGGCAACCUACCUUGUAGAUUGGGAUAACUCCGGGAAACCGGGGCUAAUACCGAAUAAUCCAUUUUGCUUCAUGGCGAGAUGUUAAAAGGCGGCUUCGGCUGUCACUACGAGAUGGGCCCGCGGCGCAUUAGCUAGUUGGUAGGGUAAUGGCCUACCAAGGCGACGAUGCGUAGCCGACCUGAGAGGGUGAUCGGCCACACUGGGACUGAGACACGGCCCAGACUCCUACGGAAGGCAGCAGUAGGGAAUCUUCCACAAUGGACGAAAGUCUGAUGGAGCAACGCCGCGUGAGUGAAGAAGGUUUUCGGAUCGUAAAACUCUGUUGUAAGGGAAGAACACGUACGAGAGUAACUGCUCGUACCUUGACGGUACCUUAUUAGAAAGCCACGGCUAACUACGUG
rnacentral:rRNA from 1 species